rnacentral:tRNA from 1 species
GCAUUGGUGGUUCAGUGGCAGAAUUCUCACCUUCCACGUUAGAAACCUGGGUUCCAUUCCCAGCCAAUACA